AACGCGAAGAACCUUACCUGGGUUUGACAUGCACAGGACGCCGGUAGAGAUAUCGGUUCCCUUGUGGCCUGUGUGCAGGUGGUGCAUGGCUGUCGUCAGCUCGUGUCGUGAGAUGUUGGGUUAAGUCCCGCAACGAGCGCAACCCUUGUCUCAUGUUGCCAGCGCGUUAUGGCGGGGACUCGUGAGAGACUGCCGGGGUCAACUCGGAGGAAGGUGGGGAUGACGUCAAGUCAUCAUGCCCCUUAUGUCUUGGGCUGCAAACAUGCUACAAUGGCCGGUACAGAGGGCUGCGAGACCGCGAGGUUAAGCGAAUCCCGGAAAGCCGGUCUCAGUUCGGAUCGGGGUCUGCAACUCGGCCCCGUGAAGCUGGAGUCGCUAGUAAUCGCGGAUCAGCAACGCCGCGGUGAAUACGUUCCCGGGCCUUGUACACACCGCGCAUA
rnacentral:rRNA from 1 species